AUUUAUAUAGUUUAACAAAAACAUUAUAUUUUCAUUAUAAAAAUAAAAAAUAAAUUUUCUUUAUAAAUA
rnacentral:tRNA from 1 species